rnacentral:rRNA from 1 species
UACGUAGGGUGCGAGCGUUAAUCGGAAUUACUGGGCGUAAAGCGUGCGCAGGCGGUUGUGCAAGACAGAUGUGAAAUCCCCGGGCUUAACCUGGGAACUUCAUUUGUGACUGCACGGCUAGAGUGUGUCAGAGGGGGGUAGAAUUCCACGUGUAGCAGUGAAAUGCGUAGAUAUGUGGAGGAAUACCGAUGGCGAAGGCAGCCCCCUGGGCCAAUACUGACGCUCAUGCACGAAAGCGUGGGGAGCAAACAGG